AUCUCUGACACCUUUCAACUUUAAAUCCAGUUUGAUUCGUUGUCAAUGGACAAUCCUCCACCUCUGAGAAGCUUUCUAUGAUUACUUCAGAUGAAGGACUCAGCAAGAACUAGGCACUCUGCAACCCAGAAGAGAGUUCUCGCCAGAAACCAAUCAUGCUGGCACUUGGAUCUAGGACUUCAAGCUUCCAGAAAUUUGUGGAAUAAGUUUCUGCUGUUUAUAAGCCACCAAGUCUAUGAUAAUGUGUCAGAGGACUGAGCUAAGACAUAAAGUGAGCUAGAGUUAAGAUUUAAGAUCUAUUUGUUACAAUAAAAUUCAAAAUAGUCGUAUAAAUGUUUAAAUGCAACAUCUCAAAAAUCGUAACAUGUUCUUACAUUUAGAGAAUUAGUACAGAAAUAUUAAGUCAACAAAAUUUCUAACAUUAAAUUGAUGUCUACUUGUUA